rnacentral:rRNA from 1 species
UAGCCCGGAGAUGGAUUCUGAGACACGAAUCCAGGCCCUACGGGGCGCAGCAGGCGCGAAAACUUCGCAAUGCGCGAAAGCGCGACGAGGGGAUUCCAAGUGCAUGCACUUAGUGCAUGCUGUUUGCUAGUCCAAAUAGCUAGUAGAGUAAGGGCUGGGUAAGACUGGUGCCAGCCGCCGCGGUAAUACCAGCGGCCCGAGUGGUGAUCGUUAUUAUUGGGUCUAAAGCGUCCGUAGCCGGCCCGGUAAAUCUCUGGGUAAAUCGUUGGGCUCAACCCGGCGAAUUCUAGGGAGACUGCCGGGCUUGGGACCGGGAGAGGUCGGAGGUACUCCGAGGGUGGGGGUGAAAUCCUGUAAUCCUUGGGGGACCACCGGUGGCGAAGGCGUCCGACCAGAACGGGUCCGACGGUAAGGGACGAAGCCCUGGGGCGCGAACCGGAUUAGAUACCCGGGUAGUCCAGGGUGUAAACGCUGUGCGCUUGGUGUUGGGGGUCCUUUGAGGGCAUCCAGUGCCGGAGAGAAGUUGUUAAGCGCACCACCUGGGGAGUACGGUCGCAAGACUGAAACU